UGUUUGAAUUUGCAGUCAAUUAACAUUGUCUUAGAGACAGUAGACAUUAAUUUUAUGGUCUAAACACUCUCCAUGCUCACAUAUUUCCAUGGUUGUCUGAAAAAUGUUGCUUUGCUCUGACCGUCUAUUGGCUAAGUCUCACAGGAGUGCCAACUGCACUGAAGUGUCAAGCAUUUAACAGACUGGUGGGAAUGGAAAUGUGUAGUGCUUUGCGGUCUCUAAGUGGCUUCAUUUGAACAAUGUCUACUUGCGACCUAAAAAAUCUUAACAGCAGCAUGGCUAUUGCAGACUAAUGAAUUCAGCUGGUUUACAGUUGCACAUUACUCUUACUAAAAUCUCUGAGCUGAAAAUUUGAGGAUAACUAUAGGAAUGUAUGGCACAUUAACUUCAAAUUUCAUAUUACACACUAGCUUUGGCUAACUACGCUAGGUUCUCUUCAGCCGCCUGAUUGAAUUUUUCAUUUAGCUUGAAAAUUAUGUGCUGUGCUGUUUGAGGGUUUGUUUGAUAUGGAAGUCUGUUCUUUUGUAGCAGCCUACUUCUCUUUUACAGCGUCACAGUUUUUUUUAAAUAAUGUUUAGUUUUUUAAAUUUUAAUAGCACUAGUUUGGUUAAAUCACCAUGCUCUUGAAAAGCUGUUCUGUGUUUAAACCUUCCCACCGUUAAACCCACAGCAUUACUCUCACCUCUUGGCAAAAGGGAAUGGGGCGUACAGCUCUGCCCUGCCCACAAGGGCGUCACUUACAAACCAGCUUUUUUUUUACUCCUUUUUGAAAUAACGGACAUGCGGUAAAGUCCCUGCAAUGCGAGCGCCUUUUACUCACAACUGUCGUGAGCCCUCUGGCUGAUCAUGUAAACAUCCAUCUAUUUUAAGGAGAACAUGAACUAAGCGUUGUGGUCCUACAACGGAUCCACACGUAUGACUGAAUUUCAAAAAAGACAUUUCAUCACAUGUAGUCUCAGAAAACAGGAUGAAGAUGCUUAACAGACUCCUCAGACAGUUUCCAGGCUUUUCCAACCUCUUCAGUCCCUAAGCAUACACAUAUACGCCCAUGUUUUAGCCAGCUCCACCCAGACGGAGAGCAGGAUAUAGCCCGCAAUUACGAUCAACGGCAUGUUUCCACUCCAAACCAGAGCCCUUUGUUUGAGCUUUCCCGCUAACUUUUUAACUCCGUCUCCUCUGAGUAAACAAUACAAACUGCCGGCUGUCACAUCAAUCAAGACUUUAUACUGUGUUCAUAGCUGAUCAGCUUGUGAAAGCACAUCACGUCAGCCACGCUGGAUUUGUGUGUCCCUGGACCAAUGAGUAAUACAAGUCUCUGGGGUUUUGAGAAGGGAUUGCCUCAUAGCGUGUAUGUUCUGCCUCCUUCCUCAGCCACGCCUGUGAGAACACAGACAACAUGUGAAUGUUCCCUCACUCAGAGGCUCCACAAGAGGACAAACAGACCCUCUCUGUGGCCGUGGGCCACGGCUCAGGCACCGUUCAGGCAUCGUGAGGCACAGCGGGUGGUGGGUAAAUGGUCAGACACUUGACCUACUGUGACCUUGUUUAUUUUUCUGUCCAUGGGGGCAAGCGGGGGGAUGGUUUACACAAACUGCCACAAUGUUACAAGCAUUCCACUGGGUAGGAGGAUGACUUCCACGUGGAAUGCUUAAGAGAUAUGCUCACACAUAUAAGUAAUAGGACUGGGUGCCGCUAAAGUAACUGCAUCUAAAAAUAAUGAUAUUUGAUCAUACUGUGUAUAUAUACAUUACUAUUUGGGGUCAGUCCUUUUUUAUGUUUUUAAAAGAAGUCUCUGUA